rnacentral:lncRNA from 1 species
AUCAGUUCAGACCCAAUUCCCUGGCAUAUGUUCCUAGGAUCAAAUCACAACGGUAUUCAAACACAGUCACAUUCCUUCCUUUGCGACAAAAAUAUAAUUUUUUUAAAAAAUAUUAUAGAUACCUCAUAAAAUUAGUAAUAUCAUAAUUAUCUUUUUAAAUACCUACUUUGUUCCAAUUAUACCCUCAUCGUUCGCCUUAGUAAGUUUAUAUAACUUUAAUCCUUUUUUUAUUAUAUAAAAUAUAUUAAAUAUAAAAUUACCUAAUUUUUCUUUAUUUU